GACGGGGACCCGCACAAGCGGUGGAUGAUGUGGUUUAAUUCGAUGCAACGCGAAAACCUUUACCCACCUUUGACAUGUACGGAAUCCUUUAGAGAUAGAGGAGUGCUCGAAAGAGAGCCGUAACACAGGUGCUGCAUGGCUGUCGUCAGCUCGUGUCGUGAGAUGUUGGGUUAAGUCCCGCAACGAGCGCAACCCUUGUCAUUAGUUGCUACAUUCAGUUGGGCACUCUAAUGAGACUGCCGGUGACAAACCGGAGGAAGGUGGGGAUGACGUCAAGUCCUCGUGGCCUUUAUGACCAGGGCUACACACGUACUACAAUGGCCGGUACAAAGGGCAGCGACACAGCGAUGUGAAGCGAAUCCCGAAAAGCCGGUCUCAGUCCGGAUUGGAGUCUGCAACUCGACUCCAUGAAGUUGGAAUCGCUAGUAAUCGCGGAUCAGCACGCCGCGGUGAAUACGUUCCCGGGCCUU
rnacentral:rRNA from 1 species